rnacentral:rRNA from 1 species
CCUACGGGUGGCAGCAGUGAGGAAUAUUGGUCAAUGGACGAGAGUCUGAACCAGCCAAGCCGCGUGAAUGAUGACUGCCCUAUGGGUUGUAAACUUCUUUUAUAAAGGAAUAAAACGUGGCACGUGUGCCUUAUUGCAUGUACCUUAUGAAUAAGGAUCGGCUAACUCCGUGCCAGCAGCCGCGGUAAUACGGAGGAUCCGAGCGUUAUCCGGAUUUAUUGGGUUUAAAGGGAGCGCAGGUGGGUUGUUAAGUCAGUUGUAAAAGUUUGCGCCUCAACCGUAAGAUUGCAAUUUAUACUGGCAGUCUCGAGUACGGUUGAGGUAGGCGGAAUUCGUGGUGUAGCGGUGAAAUGCUUAGAUAUCACGAAGAACCCCGAUUGCGAAGGCAGCUUACUGAACUGUGACUGACAUUGAGGCACGAAAGUGUGGGUAUCAAACAGGAUUAGAUACCCCGGUAGUC